UGGGGAAUUUUGGACAAUGGGCGAAAGCCUGAUCCAGCAAUGCCGCGUGUGUGAAGAAGGCCUUCGGGUUGUAAAGCACUUUUGUCCGGAAAGAAAUCCUUGGCUCUAAUACAGUCGGGGGAUGACGGUACCGGAAGAAUAAGCACCGGCUAACUACGUGCCAGCAGCCGCGGUAAUACGUAGGGUGCAAGCGUUAAUCGGAAUUACUGGGCGUAAAGCGUGCGCAGGCGGUUUGCUAAGACCGAUGUGAAAUCCCCGGGCUAACCUGGGAACUGCAUUGGUGACUGGCAGGCUAGAGUAUGGCAGAGGGGGGUAGAAUUCCACGUGUAGCAGUGAAAUGCGUAGAGAUGUGGAGGAAUACCGAUGGCGAAGGCAGCCCCCUGGGCCAAUACUGACGCUCAUGCACGAAAGCGUGGGGAGCAAACAGGAUUAGAUACCCUGGUAGUCCACGCCCUAAACGAUGUCAACUAGUUGUUGGGGAUUCAUUUCCUUAGUAACGUAGCUAACGCGUGAAGUUGACCGCCUGGGGAGUACGGUCGCAAGAUUAAAACUCAAAUGAAUUGACGGGGUCCAUA
rnacentral:rRNA from 1 species